rnacentral:tRNA from 1 species
UACAUUAUAGUUUAUGAAGAACAUUAAUCUUUGAAGUUAAAAGACAGUUUAAUUCUGUUAAUGUAA